rnacentral:rRNA from 1 species
AAGCUGGAUUCGCUAGUAAUCGCGCAUCAGCCACGGCGCGGUGAAUACGUUCCCGGGCCUUGUACACACCGCCCGUCAAGCCAUGAAAGCCGGGGGUACCUGAAGUGCGUAACCGCAAGGAGCGCCCUAGGGUAAAACUGGUGAUUGGGGCUAAGUCGUAACAAGGUAUC